rnacentral:rRNA from 1 species
UACGUAGGUGGCAAGCGUUGUCCGGAUUUACUGGGCGGUAAAGAGCGCGCAGGCGGUCGUGCAAGUCGCGUGUGAAAGCCCCCGGCUUCAACUGGGGAGGGUCACGCGAUACUGCUCGACUCGAAGGCAGGAGAGGGAAGUGGAAUUCCCGGAUGUAGUGGUGAAAUGACGUAGAUAUCAGGAGGAACACCGAUGGCGAAGGCAGGUCUCUGGGCAUUAACUGACGUGAGGAGCGAAAGCAUGGGGAGCGA